rnacentral:rRNA from 1 species
UACGUAGGGUGCAAGCGUUGUCCGGAAUUAUUGGGCGUAAAGAGCUCGUAGGCGGUCUGUUGCGUCGGCUGUGAAAACCCGGGGCUCAACCCCGGGCCUGCAGCCGAUACGGGCAGGCUAGAGUUCGGCAGGGGAGACUGGAAUUCCUGGUGUAGCGGUGAAAUGCGCAGAUAUCAGGAGGAACACCGGUGGCGAAGGCGGGUCUCUGGGCCGAUACUGACGCUGAGGAGCGAAAGCGUGGGGAGCGAACAGG